GGAAGGACUGUAAGGUGUACAUGUCCAACUGGCAGGUGUCAUCUGACCUUGACCUCAUUUUCAUGGUUCAGUGGUUAUAGUUAAGUUUUUGUGUUUUGGUCUGUUUUUCUUAUACUAUAUGCAAUAGGUCUACUAUAUUUGGUGUAUGGAAUGAUUGUAAGUUGUACAUGUCUAGCUGACAGGUGUCAUCUGACCUGUACCUCAUUUUCAUGGCUCAGUGGUCAAAGUUAAGUUUUUGAGUUUUGGUCUAUUUUUCUAAUACUUUAUGCAUUAGUCAACUAUAUUUGGUGUAUGGAAAUAUUUUAUGAUUUAUAUGUCUGUUACGCAGGUUUUAUUUGACCUUGACCUCAUUUUCACGGUCUAUUGCUAAGUGUUAAGUGUUUGUGUUUUGGUCUGUUUUUCUUAAUUUAUAAGCAAUAAGUCAACUAUAUUUGUUGUAUUGAAGAAUUGUUAGCUGUACAUGUCUGCCUGGCAUUGUUCAUCUGACCUUGACCUCAUUUAAUGGUUCAUUGAUCAAUGUUUCGUUUUCUUUGGUUAAUGUUGAGUUUAUGUGACAGUUGUAAUAAAGCUUUAUAUUUAGGUCUAUCAACAUAAUAUCAAUGAUUAGUAAAGAAGGCGAGACAUUUCAG
rnacentral:lncRNA from 1 species